AGAGACUCAAAAGAUGAUGGAUUUGGCCGGAAAACACAACAUCACGGCAGAUAUUGAGCUUAUCUCUGCGGAUUAUGUCAACACUGCCAUGAAACGGCUCGAGAAGGCUGACGUUAGAUACCGUUUUGUGAUUGAUGUUUCCAACACCUUGAAGCCUAGUCCUUAAUUAUAAAUCUUAAGAAUUGAAGUUCCCUAGAAGCCUUUUUUUUCUUGUUUCGUUUGUUGUAACUAGGCAAAGAGCCUGUGCGAUAUCGCACGGGAACUCAUUUUAUAAAGAAUAUAUUAUAAUCUAUAAUUUAUAAUUUUAUAUGCCUGAUAAAAAAAUUAAAUCAUAUAAAUAAUUAAAUUUAAUUUUGAUGAUUAAAAUAUGAUUUACAAAGUAUUCAAAUAUAUAUAUAUAUAUAUAUAUUUUUUAUAAACCUUAAUGUUCCCUUUAAUCUUUUAUCAAAACACAUAUUGCAUACUUGUGUCUUCAUCUUUUUUAAGUUUUUUCUUACAUUUUUCACAUGAUAGUUAUCUUCAACCACUUUUUGAACAAAAUGCAAUUUUUUUUGCAUGAUAUAUAUUUUUUUUUUAUUUAAGACAUAAUAUUAAAAUUAUUAGUUUAUAAUUUUAAACAAUUAUAAUUUAUAUGUUGGUAACUGUUAUUUUGUAUAUUUAUCUACCUGCUUUAUUUAUUGAAAAUGAAUAUUCAGAAAAUUGAAUAUUGUAAUAAAUAUAUGCUGAUUUAUGUUAAUAUGACCCGUCUCAUUUAUAAUAUUUUUUUUUUAAUUUUUGGGAGAGUUCUUAUAAAAUACCAACACUUAUUAUAUAAACUAACACAUUACUUAAAUAAUCUCAUUUAUAAUUUUUUUUUUAAUUUUUGGGAGAGUUCUUAUAAAAUACCAACACUUAUUAUAUAAACUAACACAUUACUUAAAUAAAACCAAUAUUUUUUAAAGCAAUCCCACUUUGAGAUGAAAAGACACCUUGUUUAGAUGAAAAGUUGCAACUUUGACAUUAUUUUUUUCACCAUUUUAUUAUUAGUAGAUUAGUAAAAAUUUGAUUUGAAAAAUGCAUGGGAGAGACUAUUUAUAGAUUUUUUAAAGCCUAUUUGAAUAGUCACAACCCUUCAAUAUGAAUAGUCACAUUCUUCUAAUACUUACAAUUUCUCACUUUUUAAAAGAUACUAGAUCCUUUUUCCGCGCUACGCGCGGAUAAUAUAUUUAAAUUUGUUACAUUUAUCAUUUUUAUUUGUAUGUGAAUUUUUAUAUAUUAAAUUAUAUAUAACUAAUUUUUUAAUUUGAUUUUUUUUUUAUUUUUAGUUUGAAUUAAAUAUUUUUAUUAUAUGUAACACAAUUAACUAAUAAAAUAUGAAGAAUCAAGUCCGAGAUUUUAGAGUUAUGUAAAAAAAAUAUAAUUAUGUAUAAAACACAAAUUAUCUUAGUUUAAAAGAUCCGAAUCUCAUCUCGAAUAAAUUUACGAAAAGAAAAAAUACUCCAAUAACCUACUUAAAAUAUAAAACCUCAUUUUCAAAAAAAAAAAGCGUACUUAAUAAUAUUUUUUUAAGUGUAAUAGUUGAAAACUGACAAUUCAAUAUCGAUCUAGAAUAUUAUUUUAAUAUAUCUAAUACAAAUAUUAAUUGUAAUAAACAAAUUUUGAAUUUUGUAAUAUUACAUGAAUUAGAAGUCUUUAAAAUUUAAAAUCUGUUUUAUUAGCAUACUAUAUUUUUUAUUCAUUUAUUAUUUUGACGUUACAAAAUAUUGCUUUAGUUUUAUUUGUAUAUUAUUUUUUAAUAAUUUAGUUUUUUUAAAGUAAUUUUAAAAUUAUGUAGAAUAUAAUAUAUUUAAAAUUAUUUAUUUAAAUAUAUUCAAAUAUGAUGUCUCACUUUUAUGUGUGUUUGCGUUGAGCAUAUUUAAUUUGUAAUUCGUAUAUUUAAUAACACCUUAUUGCGUGUCGUUCUAUGGUUUUAAUAAAUGUGUUGUCAUUUCAUUUUUGUUACUACUAACAUGAUUUUAUAGUGAUUAUUGAUAAUAUAUUUUUAACGUUAUGUAUUAUAUUUUAUAGUAUAUUUUUUAACUCUUCGUGCUGGCACUUUUUUUACAAUCAUUUUAAUUAGAUAAUAGGUUUCAAGAUGUAAAUAAAACUGUGUAUGUUGUAAAUUUAGACUUUUUAAUGUAGCUGAGCACUAUCAAUUAUGAAAAUUAUAUAAUGAUUUUAUUUUACUAAAUCUUUCUUUCUGUGUAUUUUUUUUAUUUUGUAUUUUUACAAUUUUAUUGCAUUACUAUUUAAUUGCAGAGAAUUGAUAUUUUCAAUUUUUGUUUCAUAUACCUUAAAAGUCUUCGGUUGAUUUUUAUUUGUUUUCUUUCUCUAAUUAUAAUGUACAGUUCAGUCGUUUUUUUUUUGGAUCAAACUACUAAUAUCAUCAGAUAGAAAAGCUUAAACUCUAAGAAUAGAGUGAGUAUUUGUGCUAGAGAAAACUGGUUUAACCAAUAAUAUAAUGAGAUAUUAUAAUAUUAGAAGGUAAGAAAACUCUUCUAUGUUGUCCUACGCUGGACAUAAUUAAAUUGUUGUCAAUUGAUUCUAUAUUUGUGAUAACUGGAAAUACAUCUUUAUGCCUUUCUUAUAUCAUUUUUAAUUGGUUCACGGUUCGACUAUUUCUAAUAUACUAAGAGUAACAUAAAAUUAGAUGUUGAUUAUCUCCUCCCAAUUAGGAAUGCACAAAAUGAGAGAAAUUCAAGAUGAGACCACUUUACAAUUUUGUCCUCAUAUCUAUAUAGAGUUAGUUUAUAGAUUACUCUAUCUGUUUCAAAAUGUAAUCAAUUUUAAUUAAAAUAUGUAAUAUUUAAAAGUUAUUACUUUAGAAAACUGUCAUUUAAUAUAUAAAUUUAAUCAAUUACACAGUAAUUUACAUAAUUUAAUUGGUUACAUAAUAUCCAAUAAAUAUAAAGUUACAUUGAAAUAUAAAAACAAUUUAUAUAGUGAAACAAAAAAUACUUUUAAACCAUUAUAUUAUAAAACAAAGAGAAUAUUCAAAUUAUAUUGAAACAUUAGAAUAGUAAAAAUCAGAAAAAGUUGAAAUCUCAACGUCGAUCAUUUACUUUGGCCAUGUUAUAAACUUUGAAGAUAACGUGAAUGAUCAAGAACAAAAAAGAUUAAUUUUAGCUUCAUUCUUUUUUUUUUAUCAUUUUACCAAAAAGAAAAAAAGAACAGGAAGAUGACUAAUAAAAAAAAGAUACAAACAGAGUACUGUAAAAAGGUGUUUAUCACAAUAGCAAACAUUAUAGACUCAAAAAUAAUCAACUUUAUAUUAAAUUUUAGUCAAAAAUAAUAAAAUAUAUAAUACUAAUAAAUUUCAUUUUAAAUAUAAUUUAACUUUAAAAAAAAUUAUCAUUGCACAUGGUACAGAAAAACACCUAGUAUUAUUUGAAUUUUAAAAACUAUCUGAUGCACUGACUUUUUGUGACAAAUCAAAUUUAAGGAACUGGGCAAGAGAUUGAGAGGAGGGAUGUGGAGAGGUACAAAGAGUCUUCACUUGAUGAGUUAUAAUGGAGCAUUGAAGUGCCAUUGUUGUAGUCGUAGGAGUUACACCGGUGAAGUUGGGUAGACGAACAGAUUUGGAGUCACUGGAGACGUCUGAGGCGAGUAGACUAAAGAAAAGGAAGCUAUAAGUUAUACAAUGGACUGACUAUUUUGAUAGGUUUGGAUAGUUCGAGAACCAUCAUCUAAACAUUUGCGAUGACGUGGCAGUUUGAUUGGUGGAGAAUAUUUUGUCCUAUGUGACACUCCUAAGAAGCCUCAAAAUUAAUAGCUUUUAUAUAGUAGGAUUAGUGAAUAGUCACAACUUUUAGACUAUUUUUAGAAAGACACAACCUUACAACAUAUAACUUUUAGAAAAGACAUAACCCUCUACACAUAUUUUUCAAAAGACAACCUUUCAAUACAAUUGAAGUUCACAACCUUAGGAAUUAAUUGGAAAAGACACAACCUUACAACAUAGAACUUUUAGAAAAGACACAACCCUUUACACUAUUUUUUCAAAAGACACAACCUUUCAACAUAAGUGGAUUCACAACUUUAGAAAUUAAUUGGAAAAGACACAACCUUCCAACAUAAUAUUUUUAGAAAAGACACAACCCUAUACACUUCUUUUUCGAAAGACACAACCUUUCAACAUAAGUGGAUUAACAGCCUUUGAAAUUAAUUGGGAUUGCUAUUAUUAGUAGAUAAGUUACGUGUUGUUUGUCUGUAGCACUAAUAUUGUGCCCUAUAAAUUGAAUCAACUUGAAUGUAAUGUUUGUUAUAUUAAUAAGAUCUUGGGAAGUUUAAUUCUAAUCGUAGGUUUUGCUGGUGAUACUGUAAAAUCUCAAAAAUAUUGGAAUAUAAAAAUAUUACAUGUAUAAGUGAAUGUUUGUUUUUCAGUUCAUAUUAAUUGGUCUUGUAUAGGUUCUUAAGGUUGAAAUAUGCUGGGUGUAAAUGAUAGAAGCUGUGUUGUCUGAGCAAUCCGACCAAUAAUAACAUAUGAUUGAUUAUAAAGUACCAAGAUUUUUAUGCAUAGUCUCUUGAUAGAAGACUUGCUCUUGUCUCUUGAUAGUAUAAACACGUUUCAUAAGGUAUGAUUUCGGGACUAAAUUCAAACUAUUCGUUUGGUCUAAUAUCCAGGUGCAUGUAUUUUAACAGUGUAAACGCGUUUAGUUAUGAGUAUGUUGUGUAGACGACACUAUUUGGGAGCAAAGCAAGUACGAUGUAUAGACCACAAGAACAGACAAACAAUACACGACUACACUGACAAAAUCAUAUAACUUUGAACUUUGAAAUAGUGUUAAAGUUCGUCAUUUUUACGUUUAUUCGAUUUAAUCAAUACGAAUAAUAUGGGAAAAUAGCUUUCCUAACGCGUCGACAAAAAAAAAAUAGCUUUCCUAACGCUCGCAGUGGCCCGUGCACGUACAGACUUGUCGGUGUGCCAGGUCCAUACAGUAUGUGGUUCAACGAGUUCCACACACUUAAUAGAUUUUUAAUUAUGCUCGGAAAAUGAAAAUUAGAUAGAACUGAAGAACGACAAAUUUUUGGUUACAAGGAAUAUAAAAGCACGUUUUACAUAUUCGUUAUGAAACUACUUUGCUUUUAUUUAAUAUAUAUAAUUUGUUUUGUUUUUUUGUCGAAGAUACGACAUAUUUGGUCAGAGCAAGGUUUAAGUUUCAACCAAUACGUUUUCAUUUUGGCUAUUACCAAAACUUUAAUAGCUUGAACAUUUGUGACGUCUCUUCUUCUCAAUGUUUCAGCAGAUCUGGUUCAUAUUCUAACAGCAGUUCUGUUGCAUUCAUACCAAUUUAUGAAUGUAUCAUAUUCACGCAUGCUUAGCAAACAAACUAAUACCUAAUGUAUUCAUUACGAAGGAAGAAGACAUCAGUAUCAUACAUUCAGUUUUGUUUUGUUUACCGAGAAUUAUGAGUUAUCAGACUUAUGACUAUGUUUUUGAAUCCAUAACAAAUCUUCAAAUCUCAAAGUAUAACUUAUUUGUAAUGAACGUAAUUCACUAUGAAAUUAGAAGUAAAAUUCUAACCAAGUGGUGGUAGUUUAGUGAUAAUUUUUUGGAGCUUGGUAUGUACGUAUCCACAUCAGUUUUGGGUUCGAUUCUUCUUACGGACUAAAUUAUCAUCAUUUGGCCAGUCUUGGCUUGGGCUUCCGUCCAAAUGGUUUAUAUGGUGGAUCAUAACAAAUAAUCGGUUCAUCCUUGUUAUUAGUCAGAAGAUAUUCCAAACUUGAGUUAGGCAGUGUGGUAGUAGUCAGUCCAAUAUUUAGUACUAAAUGCGUUCCUCCCAAGACCGACCAGAUCAGCCGAUAGGAUUUAUCAAAAAAAAAAAAAAUCUCGUAACAAUAUUUGGUUCGCGUGAGAUCACACCUACUAUAUAGUCUGAAAGUUCACUGGUUUCACCUAGUAUAUAGUCUGAAAGCUCAUUGGUUUAUAGUUCAAAAAAAAGUUCAUAUGGUAAAACAAAAACAUCAAAUAUACGUUAUGAAAAUGGUCCAACAGAGUAAUGAGUAAUAGUACUCACUACUCACUCCUCAACCUACUAUAUAGUCCGAAAGUUCAUUGUUUUAUAGUGUAUAUAUGGUAAAAUAAGUUCAAAAACAUCAAAUAAACGUAAUGAAAAUGGUCCAAGCGAGUGAUAAGUAAUAGUACUCAUAUCGGUUCAACAAGCCUCUCCUAUAUUAAACCGUGUCACUCCUCUUCACUACUCCUACAUUUCUCAAUUAUUGAUAUCAUCACUCAAAGAACAAUUCUCAGCCUUAUUCUCUUAUUGCUUAUCCAUAAUGGGAGAGGUCCUUAAGAAGGAGGCGUACGGACUGGCUGUAAAAGACGAAUCUGGAGUUAUCUCGCCUUUCCGUUUCUCAAGAAGGUUCCAGUUUCCUUUUAACGAAUUGAUGAUCUCUAUGAAUUAUGUUUCAUAUUAUAUGUUUUCUUUGAAUGAAACUUAAUUUCGUGGGAUUAAUGUAUAGGGAGACAGGAGAAAAUGAUGUGAGGUUAAAAGUGUUGUUCUGUGGAAUUUGCCACACAGAUUUAAGCAUGGCCAUAAACGAGUGGGGGUUUACUAGUUACCCCCUUGUCCCCGGGUAAGACAACAUUUGGAUACUCAAAAGAUACUCAAAAUCAUAUCAAUAAUGGAAUUUAAUAUGAAAACAUUCCAUCUGAUCAAAAUCCAAAUAAAAAAAAUUUAGAAACCGUAAAAUUUUGAUUCAGAUUCAAAUAAUAAUAUUUAAGAUUACGGAUCAGUAUCCCAAUCCCAGACAUGGUAAAUUCUAAUCUUACAAUUCAUAACCCUUAAAUAUACUAAAGUUUUGUAAGAGAUACUCAAAAUCAAAGAUAGAAUUAUUUAUGAAAAGAUUCCAUCUGAGAUUCAGUUCAAAGAAUUUGGAUAUUUUAACAUUUUGAGUUUGAAUUCAAAUAUUUAAGUUAAGCAAAAACUGUCAGGAUCCCAAAUAUCGUGAAUUUCUGAUAUAUUUUUGACAAAUUUGAAUUUCUGAUAUUAUAAUCAAUACCUGUUAAAUAUAUUAAAGUUAGAGAUUAUGUACUUUUAUAUAUAAAAGAUAUACAAUUUUUAAGUUUAUUAUAAGUUAUAACAUAUCAUAUCAUAUUAUUUUUAAUAAAUGUUUCCAAAAAUAUAAUUUUAGAAUUUAUUUGGAUGUUCUUUUGAAAAUUGUUUUUUUUUUUUUGGUUUUUCAUAAUUAACCUCAUUAUAAUUGUUUCAGGCAUGAAAUAGUGGGCGUGGUGACUGAAGUCGGAGCCAAAGUGACUAAAUUCAACGCCGGAGACAAAGUGGGAGUUGGUUAUAUGGUCAGCUCAUGCGGGUCAUGUGAAACCUGCACUGAUGACCAAGAGAACUACUGUCCAAAAAUGAUCCUAACGUCCGGAGGCAAGUAUUACGAUGACACUAUAACAUAUGGUGGUUACUCCGACCACAUGGUUUGUGAAGAGGACUACAUCAUCCGUAUUCCAGAAAAUCUUCCCUUAGACGCUACCGCGCCGCUACUUUGCGCUGGGACCACCGUCUAUUCCCCGAUGAAGUAUCACGGGCUCGACAAGCCGGGUAUGCACAUUGGUGUGGUGGGACUAGGCGGUUUAGGUCAUGUAGCUGUGAAAUUUGCUAAGGCUAUGGGUACUAAGGUUACAGUUAUUAGUACUUCGGAUAGGAAGAGAGACGAGGCGUUAACUCGGCUUGGUGCGGAUCUGUUCUUGGUGAGCCGUGACCCGGAACAGAUGAAGGAUGCAAUGGGUACUAUGGAUGGUAUUAUUGAUACCGUAUCUGCUCCUCAUCCAGUUCUUCCGAUUCUUGAUUUGCUUAAAUAUAAGGGUAAACUUAUUAUGGUUGGUGCACCUGAUAAACCGCUUGAGCUUCCGGUUCUGCCUCUCAUCUUUGGUAAGAACCAUCUUUUUUGACGAUUAUCUCACAUGAUACUUUUAUUGUCGAUUCAUAAGCUUAUAAAUUAUAAUAUGUAUAUGGUUUUCAUGACGAAAUACUAACCCUUUUUUUAGAGUAUGUUGUCUUUAGCCAAAUUUAAGGAUUGUCUUAAUUUCAAAAUCUCGACCCUAGACAGAUUAAACAUUAUAAUCCCUAAAAUUUAAGAAAUAAUUUACAUAAACAUAUGUCUCAAAUUUUUGAAUUUUUUUUUAUUAAUAAAACUUCUACUAAAUUACAUAUAGCUUUUUAAAUCUCUGGGCCGGUCCUGGUAUUUUGUAUCAUUAAUAAAAUCUACCGACAUAUAUAUCCAUGACUAUUAUCAAUUUAUCAUAACAAAUUUAAUAACAUUUCAAGUGUACAGUUGAUAAACAUUGAGAAUAUAUUUGUGGUUGUGAAUAUAUAAUAGGAAAAAAGAUGGUGGUGGGAAGUAUGGUAGGAGGGAUAAAAGAGACUCAAGAGAUGAUGGAUUUGGCCGGAAAACACAACAUCACGGCAGAUAUUGAGCUUAUCUCUGCGGAUUAUGUCAACACUGCCAUGAAACGGCUUGAGAAGGCUGACGUUAGAUACCGUUUUGUGAUUGAUGUUGCCAACACCUUGAAGCCUGGUCCUUAAUCAUAAAUCUUAAGAAUUGAAGUUCCCUAGAAGCCUUUUUUCUUGUUUCGUUUGCUGUAAAAAGUUACGUGUUGUUUGUCUGUAGCAAUAAUAUUGUGCCCUAUAAAUUGAAUCAACUUGAAUGUAA
rnacentral:lncRNA from 1 species